rnacentral:rRNA from 1 species
GGGGGCAACCCCCAAGUAGAGCGGCGAACGGGUGAGUAACACGUGGGUGAUCUUCCUUCGAGUGGGGAAUAACACCGGGAAACUGGUGCUAAUACCGCAUGACAUCCUCGAUUCAUUUCGGGGAUCAAAGCCGGGGACCGCAAGGCCUGGCGCUUGAAGAUGAGCCCGCGUCCGAUUAGCUAGUUGGCGGGGUAACGGCCCACCAAGGCAACGAUCGGUAGCCGGCCUGAGAGGGCGGACGGCCACACUGGGACUGAGACACGGCCCAGACUCCUACGGGAGGCAGCAGUGGGGAAUUUUUCGCAAUGGGGGAAACCCUGACGAAGCAACGCCGCGUGGAGGAUGAAGGCCUUCGGGUCGUAAACUCCUGUCGACCGGGAAGAAUGCACCUGACCUAAUACGUCGGCGUGUUGACUGUACCGGUGGAGGAAGCCACGGCUAACUCUGUGCCAGCAGCCGCGGUAAUACAGAGGUGGCAAGCGUUGUUCGGAAUUACUGGGCGUAAAGGGCGCGUAGGCGGCCCGUCAAGUCCCGUGUGAAAGCCCCCGGCUCAACCGGGGAACUGCACGGGAAACUAGCAGGCUUGAGUUCGGGAGAGGGAAGCGGAAUUUCGGGUGUAGCGGUGAAAUGCGCAGAUACCCGAAGGAACACCGGUGGCGAAGGCGGCUUCCUGGACCGACACUGACGCUGAGGCGCGAAAGCUAGGGGAGCAAACGGGAUUAGAUACCCCGGUA